rnacentral:rRNA from 1 species
CUCUUAUAGCCCCACAACCCCCCUAGGCACCGUGUGCUUGGUUUUAGGUUGGGGCGACCGCGGAGUACAAUAAAACCUCCACAAUGAAUGGGAACACCCCCUUAUCUGAGGGCCACACCCCCUAAGAAUUAGAACACUAACAUAAAAUGAUCCAUUAUUUGAUCAAUGAACCAAGUUACCCUGGGGAUAACAGCGCAAUCCAUUUCAAGAGCCCCUAUCGACAAAUGGGUUUACGACCUCGAUGUUGGAUCAGGGUACCCCAGUGGUGCAGCAGCUACUAACGGUUCGUUUGUUCAACGAUUAA